CCAUGAGGUCGUUUUCAAGAAGUGCAGCCGACUCUGGGUUGCUGCAGAUGUUUGAAGGCUGCAGUUGUGGAGGAGACGUUUGAGACUGGGUAAUGAUUUCAAGAGCAAAGCGGAUGUAACAACCUCCUUACGUCCCCUGGAAGAAUGCAAGGCAGCACAAGGUAGUGCUUAACACUAUCACUGUUUGUCCUCCUGAUAGAAGAAUCCAGAUGGAAAGAAGUGUGGUUCACAGGGAGAUCGUCAUGACGUACGCAGGAAUGGCUACCAACAGACCGUGGGCGAUCCUCGACGCCGAUUAGGACAUGGCUUUGUUGGUUACUCCUAAUCUCUCAGGAUCCUGCUGCCCUCCCACCUGCCAUUGAAGACACUGUCUAAAUGGCUUCCACAAACUUCAACUAAUGUCCUCAGUUAUUGUACUGGAAAAUAAAAUCAAGACAAGGUUCCACUGGCAUUUUACAUGACUGCCAUCAGGUGAUACUGUGGCUUUGUGACUGGUUUUCAGGCUUGAACGGGGGAGAGCAAAUUGUGCCCAGCACAUGUAUAUGGCACCUGAACACAUGAGCUAAGUGCAUCUUGAAGAAGGCUGAUGCAAAAGCGUGCAGUUCCUGCUUGCAGUCUACUGCACUCCAGCUUCCUGCUGGAAGGACCUGCCUCUGCCAUAAACCUCCUCUCUCCACAGGCACACGCUGAGCAAUUUGGCCUUUCCCUGCCCUGCUAAGGCAGUGGAAAGCAGUGCCUGAGGCAUACUGACUUCGGUGGGUUUUUUGUCGCAUUGGACUGUGCUGCAUGGAUCCACGACUGGAUUAGAAUUUGCAGUUCCAGAUGCUGCUGCAGAGGAGCCAAGGGACUGUCUCCAAAUCCUACUCCACCAACGUGAGUAGCUAAGACUUUGCCUAGGGCUCCAGGCUGCCUCUUAUUUGUGAGGCAAAGCUCUUUUGUGAAAUAACCUUUUCCCUGUUCCUAAAUGAUUAGAAUUGCCCGUGAGCAUCCUUGGCAAGAUUUCCUGACUGCAUUAGAACCCAGUUAAUCAAUAUAUCAAACCAGUAGCAAGGAGAAAAAAUUGAUUUGAUUAUCACUUCACGAUUCACCAUAAGAUAACAAGUUAAUUUUCAGGCAGAGUGGCAGCAUGAAUUUCAAAUACUGUUGCUAUAUUCAAAAUCAUGUUGGUUUAAGUACCAAUCAACUGACAACAGGAAAAGUAAUGUCCUCAAAACAGCUUAAAACUAAUUUGUAUCAAUUAAGCCUAUCCAUCAGUGUAAGCUAAGCUCCUCCUACUUGAUGUCAAACCAGGGAUGAUUCAAAUCACAGAACUAAUUUGGGAUAAUUUGAAGGGAGUGUGAACUGGUGAGUUCAAACUUACAAAGUGCUUUGAAGAUCUGACAUCUUUCUUUUAAUGUCCUCAACAUAAUACAUAAUAUACAUUAGCUUCCUGAAAACAUACUUACACGAGACAAGCUCAGUGGGUUUGCUGACCCACAGACUGUGGAUAGAACUGCACAGAGCUGAUUCUCCUGGUGCGGGUCUUCAGGCUGCCACAGCUUCCUGUAGCAUUGCAAUGUUUAGCAGGAUAGUGAAAGAGGAAUGUUUCUGUAGUAGUGCCUAGCCUCUUAAGAAAUUGCCCUGGCCACAGCACCAGGCCUGAAACACAAGAACCUUUUCACAUGAGAACUGUUGCCCAAGUGGGGAAGCCUGUCAUGUUACCCUUUCAAGUAAAGGGGACUCAAAGGUACAGAGCAUCUGGAUGCAGUUACUGAACUUGCCUCUGGCAUUAGCAAAAAAACAGUAACAGACUUGGUCCACAUUAGUCACUCCGGCGGAGUGAUCUGGCAGAAGGCACCCUGACAGGCACAGCAGCUCCACAGCUCACACUGUUGGCUGUGCUAGACAUGGAGGAACUGAGCUGUGAGAAUUAAUUCAGGUACAGUUGUAUUUAAUUUCUUCCUUGAGGCAUCAUUUUUUUCAUUUUUUCUCAACAUGCACCAAUCCUAGGAAGCUGCACAUGCGCAGCGGCGAGGGUGGCUGAGGCUCAGGACAGUGAAUGCAAAUGGGUUUCCUCUUUCAGCAGUGUUUCUUCUGCUGUAGCUGAACAUCCAAGUUUCGCAGGUGCUUCAGAAAGCCACGAUUGGGUGAAAUCCAACGAUGUUCCUUCACUGUUUUGAUGGCUUCAACCAGUCGGAGGUGGUGCUUGAUCAUGAGAUAUGCUAGGACUAGGGAAGCUGACCUGCUCACUCCAACUGCACAAUGCACCAAGACUUUAGCUGGUUAAGGGGAAAAAAGCAGUACAGUGGAUGAAAUUUAAUUGAAAGGGAAGGCAAACUGACUCUGCCUUCUCCAGCCUGGUCAGAGUAACACUGCAAACUUGAUGUGUUUCUCACUCUUCUGAUAGAUCACACGAAGAGCUAACAGUUGAGUCUAAUUUGCAAUUGCUACACUCACUUUUAUGAGAAGUGCCAUGAAUGCCCAACCUGAUCUCAGGAACACUGGUAAAUUAUGGUAAAUUAAAGGAAACCCUGCUGAAAGCAAAGAAAUUGUUCUUCAUUGUUCUGAGAACGAUGCUAUGAGAAAGAGGAAAAUAACACCCACUGAAUUCAGAGGGGCUUACUUACAUGAAGAAUAAUGCUGGCCUGAAAUGAUGGCACUAACACAGUAGCCAACGAGGGAAAUGAUUGGCCUAGGACCAUUGCAUAAUACAGCAAUUUGCUGCAACUGUAGUUCUCUUUUGACAGCAGAAGGUGUGCCACAGAGUGAGACAUCUCAAUUAAUGGCAGUUUACUCCUGAUAAGAAAUUGAUUUUUAUGUAAUACAGGUUAAUUAGUAUUUUACUGCACCAGUGUCAAGAAGCUCAGUGUUUAGUGCAACACACUAUAAAUCCCCAUGGAGGCACAGCCCUGCAGGCCCUGCUCACACGGGAAGAUCAUCUGCAAUGUAUGUUCCUCUUCUUGCAGUUCAUGGUUGUAGAAAUCAGAACUGUUGUCUCUUCUUUUGUUCUUACAAAUAUAGUUGCCAUAAGGAGGUCUCAAAAGAGGGUUUCCAUUUUAAGUCCUCCCUCUUUAAGCAAGCCUUUCCUUCCAGGUAUUUUUUUCUCUGCCUCCUUCUCUCUCUGCCUGCACUGUUCAUCCCCUUUCUCACAUCAGAUUUUUGGGACCUAAUUAGAGCUACAUCCAUGUAUAUCCCAGUACUCCCUCCUCAUGGUACAGGUGGCCAAAGCUGCCAGGUCCACCAGUGAGCUCAUGGCGCUAACCUGUUACGAGAGUCCACCAACUCACAGAAAAAUCAGGGAUACAAUGAUUUCAUACCUCCUGGCGUGUUCAAGGCAUUGUGGAUAAAGUGUGCUGCAGAGAAAAAGAACUGGCUUAUAUCAAAGCUGGGGAGGUCAUGGGCUGGCACACCAUAAUAACCGAUCGUUGCACCGUAGAAGUCCUGGCCUCCGUGGCUGUAUGUUGUGCCGUGGGCAGCAUUUAAAACAUGGGUCACACCCAUCUUCCACAGAACAAAUCUGUUGUGAGCUGUUACUCUAAGGAAAAGACAAAGACCUCAAGUCCCCACUUGGAUCACUGAAUACAGCAUAGCCACUGCUGAAAACAGAGCAGAGAAUGUGAGUGGAACUGCUGCCAGGUGAAACUUGUAAGCUGCUGAGUUUAUACAGGAAGGUCUUGUGAGCCACAGGCUAGAGACCUAUCGUUAGUGGCCGUUUUGGGGUACGGCAGUGCCUGUGCUUCUGGUCUGCAGGAUGUGACUCCUGGUAGGAGGCUGCAAACUUGUCAGUGAGGAGCUACAGGAGCAAACACAUGAAGUGCCAAUUUCCUUUGUAAGCUUAGCAACUCAUCUGCAGAGUCCUGGCUCCUCUACCAAUGCAGUCCAGCAGAGAAUGUGACCCACGAAGAGAAGUUUGCUGAUGAUAUUAUCUCCUGCAGUAAAAAGGUGAUGAACAGAAAGAAACCUUGGCCAGGUCUGAACCAGCUUUAUUUCACAUGCAUUCAUUUAUUACGAUAGAGAAAGGGUUAGCUUUAUUUUGUUUUAUCAAGAGACAUAGCAUUCAGGGCUGCUUGAAAUCAGGUAUUGAAGCCUGGGAUGAUUAAUUAUGCUUAGGAGUACUCAGAGUGAUGGAUUACCCUAAUACAAGGCAACACUUUCUAGCAUCUGAGGGCAAAAGUUACAUACAUGAAGAAAAGAAAAAAGGACUUUGUUUAGAGUCUUGCCUGAAUUAGAAACUGCUAACAUUUUGUUGAUUUAAAGAAGAAACUGAUUAAAAGCCUCUUGUGCACAAAGAGACUCUUAGUUCCUGGUGCUAUAUACAUGUUCUGGCCUAAGAGGUGAAAUAAGGUACACUGCAAGCAACAAUGGGCAGGCAGUGGGACAGGCAUCCAAGCUCUGCUGUCAGUGAGGCUAUCAACUGACCAGAUCCAGCAGAGGAAAGGACUGCAAAAAUGGUUGAAGUUAUACUUAAAGCACUAUGUAUAUGUAUUUAAUGUAUUACCUUGUUUUUCUGCUUUGGGGGUGUUUAUUUUUCUCUCUGUGGUAAAUGUGUGCUUUCUCAGCUGACUGAUCUGUGCUCAUGAAUGAGGAAAACUGAGAAAGUGCAGUUGUUCAUUUAGUUUACUUCUCUCAGGUUUCUGGUUGGAGGCUCAAGGCUUUACUAGCAGGUGUUUCUUACAUGUAAGCCCAACCCAUUUGUGGCCAGGUUCCCCCAGAAAGGUGACAUGUUUAAGUUUGGCCCUUUUCAGCUGUAAAGCAUUACUGACCUCUGCCCCAAAUACACUUUGAAUUCAGACCUUGUCUGUGAGAUGAAAGCUGAUGAGCAGCAAAACAUCACCUCCACGCCCCAUGUGCCUCCAGCAAUUGUAUAGCAUAUGCCCAUCUGUUUCAGAAUUGUGGCCUUCCGCACCCACAGCCUUCUAAGCAUUUAAUAGUCUGUAAAUGAGACUCAUGUGAAGCUGUGAUAGUGACCUCCCUGCCCCAGGAGCUGUCUUUGAAACAGACAGAAGGCAGAGAUGUGGCUUUCAGACCAGCUCUGUGCUUAUGCACUAAGCCACAACCAGUGUCUUUUCCUGCUUCGUGUUCUCUCGCCUGUCAUUUCGAGUGCGGCGCUGGGCCCAGAUGCCUCAGCAUUCCUCUCUUUCCAUGGGUUUACAAAGGAUUUGGUCAUCAGGCCUGUGGAUCAACACAGGACAGUCAGGCUCUCUGCUGCCAAUGCGUGUCUUGACUUGAAACUCUCAGGAAGCUGGAGAUCCCUCUCAGCAGAAGUGCUGACCUCUGUAACUAGAGCUUUAUUCCGUAGUGUCCUUGCUCCUGUGGGACUUUACUUUGUCCACAAAUCUCUGACUUUGUGAAGAAUUGUUUUAUUUAAGCUUAUGUGAGUGUAGACUAAAUACAAA